rnacentral:lncRNA from 1 species
UUGAUUUUGUUCUUUUCUACAGAAUACAAAGGAGCAUUUAUUAUUUUUUUUGCUUCCUUAAUUUGUUAUUUUAUUAUUUUAUUGUAUUCUCCUUCGAAUCGAAUGUCAUAGAAAUAGAAAUAUUAACCCCUUUCUUAAUUCUUUUGUACCAAAUACAGAGCAUCGAUCAACUUUCAACUUUCCAAUAGGAAGCUCCACGCAGAAAGAACAAUUCAAAGCCACGGGAAAAAUGUGGAACAGAGUGGGUAUGUGUAGUUACAACGUGAUAUAAAUGCUGUCUUUUUUGUCAUAGAGAUAUUGUGUUAGCUUGAUGGUUGGGAAGGAACUUAAGGGUUAGGAGAGAAGAUGAAGAGAUUAUGGAUUUGAAUAAUCCUCAUUAAUA